rnacentral:tRNA from 1 species
GGAUAGUUGGCAGAGUCUGGUUGAAUGCACUGGUCUUGAAAACCAGCAGAGGGUUAAACCUCUCGGGGGUUCGAAUCCCUCACUAUCCGCCA